AGUGAACGCUGGCGGUAGGCCUAACACAUGCAAGUCGAACGGCAGCACAGUAAGAGCUUGCUCUUACGGGUGGCGAGUGGCGGACGGGUGAGGAAUACAUCGGAAUCUACUUUUUCGUGGGGGAUAACGUAAGGAAACUUACGCUAAUACCGCAUACGACCUACGGGUGAAAGCAGUGGAUCUUCGGACCUUGCGCGAUUGAAUGAGCCGAUGUCGGAUUAGCUAGUUGGCGGGGUAAAGGCCCACCAAGGCGACGAUCCGUAGCUGGUCUGAGAGGAUGAUCAGCCACGCUGGAACUGAGACACGGUCCAGACUCCUACGGGAGGCAGCAGUGGGGAAUAUUGGACAAUGGGCGCAAGCAUGAUCCAGCAAUACCGCGUGGGUGAAGAAGGCAUUCGGGUUGUAAAGCCCUUUUGUUGGGAAAGAAAAGCAGCAGGUUAAUACACCGAUGUUCUGACGGUACCCAAAGAAUAAGCACCGGCUAACUUCGUG
rnacentral:rRNA from 1 species